CCUGGCAAAGGUACUACGAAGUGGGUGAUGUUUGAAUUGUUUGGGCUUUAUCCCACCUCCUGUUACCUGGUGCCCUGGAUGAACCCCUGAGGCCCCAGGGACACCUGAUUGAAUAAAAAUCCUGGUUAUUGUGCUAAAUGAUAAGGCAAGGUAUAUGUUACAUGUGUAUAAAGAGAAUAUUAUGUACAUACGAAUAUCACUUGUACAAAACUACAUAAUGACUUUGUGCUCCUUUUAUAAAAAGGUUCACAAUGUACUAACGACUGAUGUUGGAGAUCACACCCAGGCCUUUGCUGCAGGCGGCCAGUCAGUGUUCAGUGUCUGGGACUAUCUGCUCAUCCUGACUUGGAAGCAGGUUUAUUUAUUCAACAUAAAAGGAAGUAUUUGAACUCACAGAGUGUGAUCCUCUGCAACUCUUAAAAGCAGCAUGACUGGACAGACAACUUUUAGGACAAUGAGACAUAUUUCUCUGCUCUGAACACCACCUCGCUAUUGAAGGGGGCCAAAGUUUUGCUUUCCUGAAGCUGCCUUUUGGGAUAUAGACUUUAAGCUGUUCAUUAAGAAACUAAAGACUCAGAAAGAACCUUUGACCCUCUCCCCUUGUCUGCCCAGGAGAUUCAGAUGGAAACACCCGCUUCAGGAAGGCAGUCUUGGAAUGCUCACCACGGCCCACUUUGAAUGAAGUAUGGAAGUAGGAAGACUUCAGAAGUGGCCUGUCUGUGAGGGCUUGUUGGCAUCAGAGACCCAAGGAGAGGCGAGAAAUUGAUUUCAGGACCACAGUUUGAAGAAGGCAAGUAAUAGAGGAUGUACCGUGAAAUUGAUUUUGGAGAGAAAUUUGAAGUUAAUCAUUCAUUGGUAUGACAGAUACUCACUGGGUUGCUGCUAUGAGUGAUGCCCAGGUUAUAUAAGCAAAGACUAAAACUGGAGAGUGGUUAAACUAGAACAACAGAUGAUUUACUAACAGCUCCAAGUCAUGGAGAACCAAUAUAAGAAUUAUCUGGAAAUAGAAAUUUUGUACAUCAACUCUUCUCGUUCCUUUUCUUCCUUUCUUCUUUUUUAAAUGUUUUAAAAGAAUAUUCUUUCACCAGAAGCAUCAGUGGAGCCUGACAGACACAUCCCAGGAGGAGAGCCCAUGCUGGCCAGGCAUAAGACUUCAGAGGGGGAGGGACAGGAAAGUGUGUCCCCUUCCCUUUGUGGACCCUGGCCACUAGAUCCUGUUUUUUGUCUGUUUGUUUAUUUUGUUUUGUUUUGUUUUUAAGGUACUAAGCAGCUAUAUCAAGAAAAGUCAACAGGAGUGGAAUAUUAAGACCUCAUUUUUUAGUUCAAGUACCAUAAAACUGAUCACAGAGUGGAUACCAUGUGUUAACUGAAUUCUAUUAAAUUUUGUAUUAUCAUAGAGAUGCUCUAACUUAAGUAGAGGAACUAAAAAAAAUUCUUAAUGCUAAAAUAGAAUGAAGAAUGAAGAAGUCAUUUAAGAUUUAAAAGUGUUAUUUGUAGAUUUGUUCAUAAACAGAUUAGCAUAGAGAUCAGAAGUAAACUAAAAAUGAGCUCAGAUCGUGUGGCCCAUGGGGGAUUUAGGAUCCUAGCUAUAUCCUCUGUAAUUUUGAAAAGAAAUUGCAUGUGCAUUGGGCCAUAUUUUCAAAAUUUUGAUCAUAAGUUUUAUGGCUUGCUUAAAAGGACUUGUCUCAAUAGCAUUCCCAGCUAGAAGUUUUCUUUCACACUUUUUUUUAAAGCACCACAUACAAUUUCAAGGAAGCAUUAUUUUAAGGCUCCUGUUUAUGCUAAUUAGCAGACUUUCUGAGAAGCUCUAAACUCCAGAUAUUGAAAAGAGCUUCACUCACCACAUUUUAAAGGGUGCUUCAAGUUAACAUGAUAGUGUACAAAAGCAUCACAGACAGUCCCUGUGAGGACCCAAUGAGAAGAGGGCCAAGUGCGAAUCAAGAAGAGGACCCUCAUCAGGAACCCAGUCAGCUGCAACCAUGAUCGUGGACUCCCUAGCCUUUAGAAUUGUUGACAAGAGCAAAGAAGAGACAUUAACAAAUGAGAGAGAUAUUCAAAGAACCACCAAUUGUUGUGACUGACUGGAUGCUAAGGCAUGAACCUGGAGGAAUCCCAAAGAUUCCUGUCUCCUUAGAGUCAGGAGUGUAUGUAUUUGCAGUAUAUGACAAUCGGAGGAAAGAUCCACUGGGAGAUUGGGGUGAAUGUGGAACUGGAUGGUCUGACAUUUUUAUCUGUUGAAGUUGAGGUGGCAGUUGUGUUUACAGUGUGACGGAAGCCAGGCAUCGGUGAUACCCGCCGUCCUUGUGGUGGCAUUCCUUCGUGCACUGGAGGCUUUUACACUCGGGCAGAGCAGAUCCAGAUGUGAAGUUAACUCUUGACUGAGUAACUGAACUUAAGCAGCUGGUUUGCUACAAAAAGGAAAAGAAAAGGAGAGGCUUUAAAAUAAAGGGGGUCCCCACCAAAAUGUUUAGGCAGUACUUUGUGAAAGGGUAGCAAUUUCUACUUAGGGAGCAGACCUGUCCUAUAGUCAGCCCCCUACCCAUUCCUUCAGUGAAGAGCUAGGAGAGCCAGGAGUCACUAGAAAACCCCCAAAUGGAGAAGCCAAUGACCAGGAAGUGGGUCCCAGCAGGCCGUAGGGAGCAGCUGGGUUUUGGGGUGGAAGUACAGUUCCUUCAUCAGACAAUAAGUACCUUCCUAGAAAGAUAUGUAUGUUUGCAUAUCCAAAUUGCUACCAUCGAUAAAUGUUUUCCAUGAGGCUUUGUUUUGAAAUAAUGUAGAUUUUCCUUAAUCAAGAAAAUUACAUGAAUCUGAACUUUAAAAACUGGGAACCAACAACCUAAGACAUUACUUCUAUUUUGACUAUAUUAACAGAAUGCAUGUUUCUUAUUAAAAAUAUUUGAAAAGCAUCCCAAACAUAGAGACUGUUAGAGAAGAUAAAAUAUCACACACAUGUUAUGUAUAUAUAUAUAACCUGGAAACAAAAAAUGCCAUAUUUGCUUCAGUUUUUAAAAGGAAAUGAAAUGUUAAAGAUGUAUCUGAUGUUCCUUGUCUGCCAUCUCAGCUGCUGUUCCGUUCCCUAGUUUCUCAGAGGUUACUGCUAUUCUGAAAUUGAUAUGUUUUUCCCAUGCAUGUUUACUACACACAUAUGUCCCAAUAUGUAUCCUGUAAUAUUAUUCUGUAUGUUUGUAAUUGUACAUAAAUGAAAUUGCAUUGUAUUGGCCAUUCUCCAUCUUAUUUUUAUCCUAUUUUUAUAUAUCACAAUGUGUUUAUCCAUUCUGCCACUGAAGGACAUUUGUUCCCAGUUUUCUCUGGGAUGAAUGUCCUUGUGAGAUGUUGGCAGUUAGACAGACAUGAACAGAGUAGGAAUGAUAAGCCGGGUACAGAAGUUCACCAGGGCAAAAAGCCCUGGGUGCCUCGUAAUACACAAUUGUAAGGUGGGACCUCACCUCUAGGGUUAUCUUUCCUCCACUAACAUAUUGCUGGUCAUGUGGUUUAGACCCCUGACCUUUCAUAUCACUGGUCAUGCAGUACGGAUCCCCCCUGACCUAUCCUCUCCUGCCGUGUCAUUAGUCAUAUGGUAGACCCCCUUAGAGAAGGAACAAGGGGGCCAGAGAACAGCCUCAUAAGACUCCCUGGCACGACCACUCCCUUAAGCAUUACACUCUAGAGAUGACAUCUAGGCCUCAGUUGCGUUUCAGCUCCAGGCCCCAUAAAGCAGCAAGGCCGGGUAGGCGAUGUCAUGGCUGACACCAGGACCCCCUGUGAUGACUAAUGACCCCCUGCCCUGGCGCUGACCAGUCAGUAGAGACCAUGACCCUGAGGGA